GCCAGGCGUGGUGGCCCACACCUGUAGUCCCAGCUACUCGGGAGGCUGAGGCAGGAGAAUCACUUGAACCCAGGAGGCUGAGGGUACAGUGAACCAAGAUCAUGCCACUGCACUCUAGCCUGGGUGACAGAGGGAGACUCUGUCUCAA
rnacentral:SRP_RNA from 1 species